ACACGACCACCAACAUCACCACUACCAACAACUGCUAAACUGUCCCUGUUUUUUCUUCUCUAGCUAUGUAUCAUUUAAUUGGCUCUAAAUUUUCAAAUGCUUGCCUAGAGAUCCCUUCGAUAGCUAUACCCACUUACUCCCAUUCUCAAUAAGAAACAUGUAGACAAAAAAAAACAGCUGCUGCUUACAACAAGUCUGCUCUCAACGAUAAUGAUAACAAGAUCACCCCAAAACCAAUUAACGAUUGCCUUAGUAUCUGACACAUAUAUGACAUAUGUAAGCACUAAGGCAAACGAGUGAUCGAUUGUAGGGUAUACACAAAAGAGAAUCCAAAAAACUAAAGCCUUUAAUUAAAAAUAAAAAAAUAAAUAAAAUUUAGAAGAAAUUUGUGAAAAUCAUUUAAAAUAAUACAAAGAUAAAAACUAUAGCCGAUUAGUAAAAAAGGAACUUAUUAAUUUAAAAACAAAACACUGACGAAAUUUUAGUAAACAAAGCGAUAAGAAACCAAAACCAAAAUGAAAAAACAAAACAAAAACCAAUAACAAGCAUUACUUAGGCUGUUAAUGAAUUUGAUUACAUUGAAGAACAAAUAAUGCAAAAAACCCCAGUAAUGAAUUAACCAAGGAAAUGUAUUAACAACAAAACAAAGCAAAUUCAUAAUACAUAUAACAACACUAGUUUAGUGAAAAUUUCGAAAGUUUGCUAACACUUUUCGUAAUUGUUUCGUUUUGGUUUUGUUUUUGCAUUAUUUGAUUCGUGAUACAUAUAUUAGAACAGCUGCUAAUCUGUUAAUUACUCAGACUGCGUAUUUCGUUUAUCGUCAACUACAUAACUAACGAACCAACUGUCUCUGCUCUCGUUCGUCUAUAUUUAAAUCGUUUAUUGAACACUGAGUCACUCACUACUCUAAACUAUUUCAAUCACUAUUUAAAAAGAAAGCAUAUGUCUUGUUUUUAACUUUCUCUCCCUCUCUCUCUAUUUCGUCUCUCUUUUAUUAUUCUCUGAGAAAAAAUCUUUUAACAAACUUAAACUUUGGUAUUGAUGAGUUUGAUACGAAAUCUGAUUAAUUGAUAUCCUUAGUUUAACUUGUACAUUAUUAAUAAAGUUCAGUAUUAUAAUGAAGUUUUUAAACAUAAACAAAUUUUUAAACGAAAACAGCUACAAUUUUAUAUAUAUAUUUUUUCUCUUUUCAAAUUAAAAAAGUAAAUCUUCAAUUAAAGUAAACUUUUUCAUAUCAAUUGUGUACAAAAACUAAAGGAUUUUUUAUGAAAAAAAAAAAAUAUUUUAAAUAUGUUUUUGUUUGGAGUUUUUUACAAAAAAAGUAAUAACCAGAUCAAGCAGCUUUUUAUAUGAUUUUUUGUUGUUGUUAUUAUAUUGAUAAAAAUAGUUGUUGAGUUUAAUUUUUGUUCUUCUUUUUCACUAAGUUAGGAAAAUUAUAAAUUUUUUUGUUAUAUUGCUAAUGAUAGAGAACAUAUUAUAAAAAUUCUACCAAAUCCCCAGCAGAAGAGAAGACAGAUACAUAGUUAGAAAAAAACAGCUACUUACCUAAAAAAAAAUCAAAUAAUACAAAUAUACUUUUCCACUUGUUAAUCAAAUUCAAUGAUGGGCAAAAGCAUGCAAACAUCGUUUAGGUAUGGUACUUGUGGGUUUAGUUUCAUUUGGCAGCGACCUUAAAGAAAGACCAAUAGAGUUCUAAUAUCAGUCUCACCAAGACAAUUUGGCCUAUUGUUAUAACACAAGAGCAAGAGUAGGAAAAUGCCUUCUAUUUCCUAACAUUGAAUCAGCCGGAUAGGUUUAAAAAUCCUUAUAACUUGCGAAUGCUUAAAUCCACUGUUUCAGACAAGUGUUCAAGGAAGUAAAACCCUAAUGUGUUACUCCUUCUGCUUGGUAGUGUGAGGAAACGCAUACAGCGUAAGUGCCAUAGUUACUUCGAUGCGCUCACUGCAUUAGCUGAUAUCGCUAUACGCAUGUUUUUCUAUCAGUUGCAUAGGAAACAAUGAGUGAAACUUCUAUUGAGCUAAUGGCAGCAAACCAAAUGGCCUCAUAAUGCAGUGUUCAAAACCCCAAGUUGUAAACAUUUGUCAUAUGUUGGCUUUCGGGUUUUUACUAGAGGCCUACCCACAGAUUGCAGUCCCCUUGGACUACAAUGUUCUACAAUUCUCUGAGACUUCCCUGCAUCCAAAACAGUUGAAUUUAACUAGUUCUUUUGAACAUUUGACAUCUUUUGAACAUUUGAACAUUCCUUGACAUUAUGAUAGUGUUCUAAGUAGCCGACUGGUUGGUAAAGGGCUAUAUCAGUAUACUUACCCUUGCUAUAAGUGUGCUGUUGUCGAAACGGACAAUCUUUGUUUGCAGAUAUUCCUUAAUAAAUAGUUUCAUCAAAUAAAGGAAAUCUUUAUCAGUUUUAGAACAAGAUCGUCUCACAGCAAGGCAAUAACAUGUGCUCGCCCAUCAUUGCAAGCUAAGGAAGUCAUAUAAUUACAUUUACUCAAAGGCCUUAAAAACUUUAUUAGUUUCAUGGCUACGAGUAGCAGGUGCUAAAAAACACCCCAAAUUG
rnacentral:sRNA from 1 species